rnacentral:lncRNA from 1 species
GGCACUAUUCAUCUUCUCGUGGUUGGAUGGCUGAAUGCGGUGGAGAUAGAUGGUAGAGGGGCUUGGGGGCCUAAAAUAAAUAGAGGCCUAAAGCAAGCGCUUUAAUGGCCUUACCCUUAAGCCGGCUCUGAUCCAUCUUAAAAGGAAAUUAAAGAGUCAAAACAGGAUAAGAUCCCUAUUAACAGAAACAUAUUUCAUGAAUUUAAAAAAAGCAAAAAGAAAAGGGAAAUACAUGAGCAUUGCCUGUGAGGUUAUCCCUUUGUAUCUUUCUCAUCUUUCUGAUCGAGACGUCGUUUUCUUUUGAUUAGUUCAUGGGGCCU